rnacentral:rRNA from 1 species
GACGGAGGAUGCAAGUGUUAUCCGGAAUCACUGGGCGUAAAGGGUCUGUAGGUGGUUUUCUAAGUCUGCUGUUAAAGCUUGAGGCUCAACUUCAAAAAUGCAUCGGAAACUAGAAGACUUGAGUAUGGUAGGGGUAGAGGGAAUUUCCAGUGAAGUGGUGAAAUGCGUAGAUAUUGGAAAGACCACCAAAGGCGAAGGCACUCUACUGGGCCACAACUGACACUGAGAGACGAAAGCUAGGGGAGCGAAUGGG